AUGAACGCUGGCGGCGUGCUUAACACAUGCAAGUCGAACGAAGAAGGUUAGAAUGAGAGCUUCGGCAGGAUUUCUUUCCAUCUUAGUGGCGGACGGGUGAGUAACGUGUGGGCAACCUGCCCUGUACUGUGGAAUAAUCAUUGGAAACGAUGACUAAUACCGCAUGUGGUCCUCGGAAGGCAUCUUCUGAGGAAGAAAGGAUUUAUUCGGUACAGGAUGGGCCCGCAUCUGAUUAGCUAGUUGGUGAGAUAACAGCCCACCAAGGCGACGAUCAGUAGCCGACCUGAGAGGGUGAUCGGCCACAUUGGGACUGAGACACGGCCCAAACUCCUACGGGAGGCAGCAGUGGGGAAUAUUGCACAAUGGGCGAAAGCCUGAUGCAGCAACGCCGCGUGAAGGAUGAAGGGUUUCGGCUCGUAAACUUCUAUCAAUAGGGAAGAAACAAAUGACGGUACCUAAAUAAGAAGCCCCGGCUAACUACGUGCCAGCAGCCGCGGUAAUACGUAGGGGGCAAGCGUUAUCCGGAAUUACUGGGUGUAAAGGGAGCGUAGGCGGCAUGGUAAGCCAGAUGUGAAAGCCUUGGGCUUAACCCGAGGAUUGCAUUUGGAACUAUCAAGCUAGAGUACAGGAGAGGAAAGCGGAAUUCCUAGUGUAGCGGUGAAAUGCGUAGAUAUUAGGAAGAACACCAGUGGCGAAGGCGGCUUUCUGGACUGAAACUGACGCUGAGGCUCGAAAGCGUGGGGAGCAAACAGGAUUAGAUACCCUGGUAGUCCACGCCGUAAACGAUGAGUGCUAGGUGUCGGGGAGGAAUCCUCGGUGCCGCAGCUAACGCAAUAAGCACUCCACCUGGGGAGUACGACCGCAAGGUUGAAACUCAAAGGAAUUGACGGGGGCCCGCACAAGCGGUGGAGCAUGUGGUUUAAUUCGAAGCAACGCGAAGAACCUUACCAAGGCUUGACAUCCCGAUGACCGUCCUAGAGAUAGGACUUCUCUUCGGAGCAUCGGUGACAGGUGGUGCAUGGUUGUCGUCAGCUCGUGUCGUGAGAUGUUGGGUUAAGUCCCGCAACGAGCGCAACCCUUAUCUUCAGUAGCCAUCAUUCAGUUGGGCACUCUGGAGAGACUGCCGUGGAUAACACGGAGGAAGGUGGGGAUGACGUCAAAUCAUCAUGCCCCUUAUGUCCUGGGCUACACACGUAAUACAAUGGCGUUUAACAGAGGGAAGCAAAGCCGCGAGGCAGAGCAAAUCCCCAAAAGACGUCUCAGUUCGGAUUGCAGGCUGCAACUCGCCUGCAUGAAGUCGGAAUUGCUAGUAAUCGUGGAUCAGCAUGCCACGGUGAAUACGUUCCCGGGCCUUGUACACACCGCCCGUCACACCAUGGGAGUUGGAAGCACCCGAAGUCGGUGACCUAACCGUAAGGAAGGAGCCGCCGAAGGUGAAGCCAGUGACUGGGGUG
rnacentral:rRNA from 1 species